rnacentral:rRNA from 1 species
AAGACCUUGCGCUUUGGGAGCGGCCGAUGUCUGAUUAGCUAGUUGGUGGGGUAAAGGCCUACCAAGGCGACGAUCAGUAGUUGGUCUGAGAGGACGACCAGCCACACUGGGACUGAGACACGGCCCAGACUCCUACGGGAGGCAGCAGUGGGGAAUUUUGGACAAUGGGCGCAAGCCUGAUCCAGCAAUGCCGCGUGAGUGAAGAAGGCCUUCGGGUUGUAAAGCUCUUUCAGUCGAGAAGAAAAAGCUGCAGUGAAUAACUGUAGUUCAUGACGGUAUCGACAGAAGAAGCACCGGCUAACUACGUGCCAGCAGCCGCGGUAAUACGUAGGGUGCGAGCGUUAAUCGGAACUACUGGGCGUAAAGGGUGCGCAGGCGGCUUUGUAAGUCAGAUGUGAAAUCCCCGGGCUUAACCUGGGAAUU